rnacentral:snRNA from 1 species
UAUUGAGUAAGAUCUGGCUAUGACAUCAGCAAUCUUAUUGAUCUCCAGGUGAUUGGGCUGAUCUGGUUGGCUGGGUGAGCCUCCCUUCCUUCCCUCUGCACUUGUUUUGUAUUGUUCCUGAAGAUGCGUUCUGAGUUGAAGAAGACGAUCUUCUCCAAUAGAGGAGGAUCCAUCUUUUGUGAAGGGUGUAUGAGUAGCUGUGUUCCGCUGUCAGAACCCCAAACAACUCUAUAUUCAUUCUUUUUAAGGCUUUUAUUAAAUUCUAUAGACACAGACCUGCCACAUUAAGAGUGUGGAGAUGAGAGGACAACUUUCCAGAGUU